CAUUCUUCAGCUGUUGAACCAACUGCAUGCUACAAGUUUUUUCAACUCCCCUAGUUUGCUCUGAAAUGCUGUCACAUCGCUUGCAGGCACUGAUCUAUGAGUGACACUGAUGGACAGCUGAAUUCCAAAGAAACAAAAUGUGACAAGGAGGAGGAAGAGCAAGGUCUUGGACAAAGAGAGAGACAUGAAGAGGGUGAAGAAUUGUUUGUUUGUCAGCAGAGAUCUGAGUUUUUAAAACAAGGAGUGUUGAAAUGGCAGUGCUGUUUCGAUAGGAAGACAAGUCACCUUCUAUCAUUAUAUCACUGAUGAAGAUGACAGAAUGGGAAAUGGCUGGAAUCAGAGGUCUUCGUGAGUACAUCCUGAAAAUUCCAAGGGAGAAGAUCCACAUUUAAUU